GACAAGAAAAAUAGGUAUGUUGUCAUUAUUUUUUAUUAAUGAGGUGAAUUGUUAUUAAUAGUGGCAAAAAUAAUUACAACAAGUAAAAAUAGGAGAAGAAAAAGCAAACUUGGCGAAGUAGGAUGGCAGCAAAAAAUUAAAAAAAAGGUUGAACAAACCCCAAAAAAAUCCUAUACCAGCAAAGCAAAACAAAAUAAAAUAAAAGUUUGAAAUAUUAAAAAAAUAUUUAUAAGAAAAGAGCAACA
rnacentral:lncRNA from 1 species